GUCCCUGCUCUAGCGAGAAACUACAUGCUUCAGCCUACAUAUGGCAAAAUGUCGUCCUACUUCCAUACAGAUAAAUCAAGAUGGCACAUAACUGUUCUAUUUUUGCUUUCUUUAUUUUUUUCAGAUUUGUACCUGCUCUACCAACUGGCGGCUGUCUGCGAGAUCAAUGUUUGGAUAAGAGAGAGCACCUGUGAAAGCAUUGAGGUCUGUUGAUGGCCGGUUGCUCCCUGGUUAAUGAUGUCGAGGGACAUUCACAGGUAAGAGAUCGCUGACAGCUGGUAAUGCAUAACUGCAGGAUGAAGCUGAAAUGAUAGCAUUUUCAGGAAGUGACUGUGGUUCUGCAGGUGCAGGGUGGGAAAAAUGGGGGUGGGAGGUGAGGAACGCAGAAAGCCAAAGGGAAAGACCUGGUGAAAACCUUACGUACUGACAGAUCAAGUUUGGACAAACACGGAUACAGACACACUUCAAGAUGCAGUAUAUCUCAAGGCAAAUGAGUCCUUUACAGUUCUCAUCUCCGUUUGCGAGUGACUGGGAACCAUAUGGAUGAGUAUUUGAGUGUAUAUGCAGAAUUGAUGCACUGUUGACCAAAAAAGACAAUUUAUGUUGUGCCAUGAACCUACAAGCCUUAUCUAGUAAGCUGAAAAAUGAAUUGUUCCCAUAUUCUUGUGAUAAGUGCAUCUUGAAAUGCCACUAAAUGUUAUGUAGACAAUCGACAACGGUGUCAUUUAAACAGACUAAGCUAGAGGUAACAAUGAAGAGUGUUAGUUAUGCAGUGAAAUGUUGUUCCAAUACGGACAAUAAAAAAGGAAAAAGUUAUCACCUCUGACCUUUUGUCAUAAAAUCCCCUUGUGAUGUUUCAAGCAUCUUUUUGUAUAAAAUUUAAGCUGCCAAAAGUCUCUUUGAAGCUAAAAAGCAAACAGCUUGGGAAGGGAGUGCCCAGAUGUAGUUCACUUAAAAUUGUUCCCUUAGAAUGUUUUCAAACAUUCUUACUGUCAUGUAAAACGCUCCGCCACAGAAUUAUCUCCGUUUUGAAGUGGUACGGAUAACUCGCGGUACAAAAAGUGGUCUUCCGUACAGCUAAAUCAGAAUUGUGUUAGGAAUUACGUGAACGAUCGCUUUAAAACCGAUCGCCUGGAUGUUGAUUUCUAAAGACAUGCGUGACCUGCACUGACUAUAGAAGCGCUAGAACCGAUGCGACUAAUUCACUGUUUGAACUUCAUGUUAUACUCAUCCUCAAUUUUACAAAGCGAGAGCCAAGUCAAUGGUCACCUAGACGUUCAAGAACGAAUCAUAGGAAGCUGGUGUAGGGCAGAAGAGAUACUGUGAGAAUAAAAUUAAACAAACAUUUCUUCUUUCUCUCUUUCAACAUCCAUCAGUUUAUUUGCAAAUGUGUAAAUCUUUGGGCAAAGUAUGCAUUUGACGCCUGUGCGAUUGCGUGGACCGCUGCUGUCAUUCUAAGAGUGAGAGAUCGGGGGUUUCAAAUGGCACUUGAUAUGUGAGGGGAUAUGUACGGCAUGUUGCCUGCUAAUGAAUCUGAUCGGCCUAUUCAUAAAUUUCAUUGGUAACGUCUGGAGCAUGUUGGCAAAAGGGAGAUUUGUUUAUUUUGCAUUUAACGUUGCUUUGCACUGUAUUUAAAAAAGACAAUAUUUAUAUGUAUAUUUUCAGAGUUGAUUUGAAGAUUGGCUUCAUUGUUCUUCAGUGUCAAAGAAAAUGAUAUGAAGCAUUUUUUUUAGGUCCCUGCAUUCCUGCUGUUGUAUCCCAUAUGGUGACUGAAGGAGUAAGUGGAAUCGUCAUUUUGUCAGGGAGAAAAGCAGGAGAGCAGAACAGUGUGAAACAAAUGUAGCUUUUCAUCACUGCUAUCUGAGUAAAACGGAAAUAUAACCCUUUCAAAGCUUUAAAGUUGAUGUGACACAUGUAGAAUGCUGUACACUGUCAAUAACUGCCCCAUUUGUGGAAUUGUGGGAUAUUAGAGAAUGCUAUUAUGACACUGUAGCAAUACAUCCUGCUUGCUUUACAGAAACUCAUACAUACAGUCAUACAUACACAGGCCGCUUCUUGCGGAAAAAAAAGUGCCACGAACCACAACCGAUUGUACAUUAGUGGAGAUGAACCAAAUCACCUCCUGUUUCUUCAGAAUUUUGGCAUGACUUUGCAUUUCAAUUGAGAAACUGACACGGAAAUAAAAAGACAUCAACUGAAGUCUGAUGUGUAGUUGUGGUCAAACAGAGGUAACGGCGUGUGUGAGUGUGUGUAUGUGUGAUAGAAGAGCUGCCUUCAGCAGGCCUCAAACCAAUAGAAAGGCACCAACCCUUCACUCUGCACUGAGAGUUUCGGAAUCGAACGUUAAGCUCUGGCGGUCCCCAGAGGGAUACUCUGGGAUCGUUUAGUAGAGUCUGCGAUGACUCCGAACAUGUUACCGCUGAAUUGUAAUGGCUUUCAAUCUCCCUUCCACCCUUGCAGCCAUUAAAUCAAUGCAGAAGAGGAGGGUCGGCAGGGAAAUGCCCUGAUUGUGAAGCCACGGCAGGCUUCACAUCCUUGGGAAUGAUGAUAUAUUUCGUCCCCGCGAUUUAGAAGCUGAUUGUUAACACAGAGCUAGACCUAGGCCUGGUUUAGCAUAAUUUACUCGAGUGUAUCAACAAGCUCUCGAUUUAACAUCUGACGUCUGGAUGGAAGACAAUCCUACAAAACAACAAUUGCUAAAACCCUGCUGUGACGAUUUCGGUGCAAAACAAAUAAUGCUGAGAGGCAAGCUGUGCAUGUGUGUGUUUGAGUGAGUGUAUCUGUCUGAAAGAGGCUGCCAUGCAGUGUUUCGUGUUAAUGCUGUUCAUUAACUUGGUAAUUAUUGUUCUACUUUUUUUCUUCUUUAGUUUUUCUCAGGAAAAAGCCAAGAGCAAAGAAACCAUUCCGUCUGUAUUGUGAUGUGUGUGGGUGUGUGUGUGUGUUAAGUUUUU